GAUGAACGCUGGCGGCGUGCUUAACACAUGCAAGUCGAACGGAAAGGCGCUGCUUGCGGGGUACUCGCGUGGCCAACGGGCGGGUAACUAGUGGGUGAUUUGCCCUGCACUUCGGGUUAGGCCUGUGCGACAGGGUGGAGUACCGACUGGGAGCCAUUUUUAGUGUGAUGGUUGGAAAGUUUUGUCGGUGUUGGGUGAGCUCGCGGCCUAGCAGCUUGUUGGUGGGGUAAUGGCCUACCGAGGCGGCUUCGGGUAGCCGGCCUGAGUGGGUGGACGGCGACAUUGGCUCUUAGGUACGGCCCAGGCACCUACGGGAGGCAGCAGUGGGGAAGCCUGCACGAUGGGCGCCAGGCUGAUGCAGAGACGCCGCGGGGGGGAUGACGGUCUUAGGGUUGUAAACUCAUUUCGCAAGGGACGAAGCUUUUUGUGACGGUACCUAGACAAGAAGCACCGGCUAACUACGUG
rnacentral:rRNA from 1 species